rnacentral:rRNA from 1 species
GAUGAACGCUAGCGGCAGGCUUAACACAUGCAAGUCGAGGGGUAGAAGCAGCUUGCUGCUUUGAGACCGGCGCACGGGUGCGUAACGCGUAUACAAUCUACCUUUUACAGAGGGAUAGCCCAGAGAAAUUUGGAUUAAUACCUCAUAGUAUUUUCGAAUCGCAUGAUUUGAUUAUUAAAGUUCCAACGGUAAAAGAUGAGUAUGCGUCCCAUUAGCUAGAUGGUAAGGUAACGGCUUACCAUGGCAACGAUGGGUAGGGGUCCUGAGAGGGAGAUCCCCACACUGGUACUGAGACACGGACCAGACUCCUACGGGAGGGCAGCAGUGAGGAAUAAUUGGACCAAAUGGGCGGCAAAGCCUGAUCCAGCAUGCCGCGUGCAAGGAAGACGGUCCUAUGGAUUGU